GUUGCUUGGAAACAUCACACUUGUAUGGUUUCAGCACUCAGCGUCAAUACAACAUUAAAGCAGCAUCCGCUCAUAUGGUCAGCAAUGUUCCUUCACCUAUUGGCGGAGUUCUUGUAAUUGGUGCAAAUACAAUUCAUUAUCAUAGCCAGUCUGCUUCAUGCCACUUGGGGUUGAACAAUUUUGCUGUUCCCGCAGAUGGAAGUCAAGAGAUGCCUA